GUGAAUCAUCGAAUUUUUGAACGCAAAUUGCACUCCCUGGUAUUCUGGGGAGUAUGCCUGUUUGUGGGUCGUUAGAAAAAAAAUCGAAUCGAUGCUCUUUUUUUUAUGGGUGAUCGCGUCGGUAUUGAGCUGUCUUUCAAAUGUUAAUUUAUGUCUAAGUGGCUUGAAAUUUAUCCAUCCGGUACGAUUAAAG
rnacentral:misc_RNA from 1 species